rnacentral:piRNA from 1 species
UGAUAUGAAAAUUCCCCAACU